rnacentral:rRNA from 1 species
CCUACGGGUGGCAGCAGUGGGGAAUAUUGGACAAUGGGGGCAACCCUGAUCCAGCAAUGCCGCGUGUGUGAAGAAGGCCCUCGGGUUGUAAAGCACUUUCAGUGAGGAAGAACGCCUGGUGGUUAAUACCCAUCAGGAAAGACAUCACUCACAGAAGAAGCACCGGCUAACUCCGUGCCAGCAGCCGCGGUAAUACGGAGGGUGCGAGCGUUAAUCGGAAUUACUGGGCGUAAAGCGCGCGUAGGUGGCUUGAUAAGCCGGUUGUGAAAGCCCCGGGCUCAACCUGGGAACGGCAUCCGGAACUGUCAAGCUAGAGUGCAGGAGAGGAAGGUAGAAUUCCCGGUGUAGCGGUGAAAUGCGUAGAGAUCGGGAGGAAUACCAGUGGCGAAGGCGGCCUUCUGGACUGACACUGACGCUGAGGUGCGAAAGCGUGGGUAGCAAACAGGAUUAGAUACCCUAGUAGUC